rnacentral:pre_miRNA from 1 species
CAAGUACUUCCUCCAUCCGGAAUUAUUUGUCAUCAAAAUGGAUGUGUCUAGAACUAAAAUACAUCUAGAUACAUCCAUUUCAAUGACAAGUAUUUUCGGACGGAGGGAGUACAAG